rnacentral:rRNA from 1 species
UUUCCGUAGGUGAACCUGCGGAAGGAUCAUUACUGAGUGAGGGCCCCUCGGGGUCCAACCUCCCACCCGUGUUUAACGAACCUUGUUGCUUCGGCGAGCCCGCCUCACGGCCGCCGGGGGGCAUCUGCCCCCGGGCCCGCGCCCGCCGAAGCCACCUGUGAACUCGUCUGAAGUAUGUAGUCUGAGACAAUUAUUAAAUUAAUUAAAACUUUCAACAACGGAUCUCUUGGUUCCGGCAUCGAUGAAGAACGCAGCGAAAUGCGAUAACUAAUGUGAAUUGCAGAAUUCAGUGAAUCAUCGAGUCUUUGAACGCACAUUGCGCCCUCUGGUAUUCCGGAGGGCAUGCCUGUCCGAGCGUCAUUGCUGCCCUCCAGCACGGCUGGUGUGUUGGGCCCCGUCCCCCUUCCCGGGGGGACGGGCCCGAAAGGCAGCGGCGGCACCGCGUCCGGUCCUCGAGCGUAUGGGGCUUUGUCACCCGCUCUUGUAGGCCCGGCCGGCGUCAGCCGACCCCCUCAAUCUAUUUUUCAGGUUGACCUCGGAUCAGGUAGGGAUACCCGCUGAACUUAA